UACGAAGGGGGCUAGCGUUGCUCGGAAUCACUGGGCGUAAAGCGCACGUAGGCGGAUCUUUAAGUCAGGGGUGAAAUCCUGGAGCUCAACUCCAGAACUGCCUUUGAUACUGGGGAUCUCGAGUCCGGGAGAGGUGAGUGGAACUCCGAGUGUAGAGGUGAAAUUCGUAGAUAUUCGGAAGAACACCAGUGGCGAAGGCGGCUCACUGGCCCGGUACGUGACGCUGAGGUGCGAAAGCGUGGGGAGCAAACAGGG
rnacentral:rRNA from 1 species